CGUUGCGGGUAGCAAAUCCGCAACGGGUGAGGUCGGCACAGCAUACACCGACAGGGCGGGAAUG
rnacentral:sRNA from 12 species